GAUGGACGCACCUCUGGUGCACCAGUUGUCACGCCAGUGGCACAGCUGGGUAGCUAUGUGCGGACGGGAUAAGCGCUGAAAGCAUCUAAGCGUGAAGCCCCCUUCAAGAUGAGACUUCCCAUAGCGCAAGCUAGUAAGACCCCUUAUAGACGAUGAGGUUGAUAGGUUCGGUGUGGAAGUGCAGUAAUGCAUGGAGCUGACGAAUACUAAUCGGUCGAGGACUUAUCCACA
rnacentral:rRNA from 1 species